rnacentral:sRNA from 1 species
GGGUUUAACUCCUGCUUGUUACCGUUUCAUCCUCCCGAAGGUGGAUGUCGUUUUGGUGUCUGAUUCGGUAAGAAUCCGGAGCACCAUCUGCGUAGGUUUUAAGUUUAAGGCUUACGCCACCUACGGUCUUGGAUAGCCCCCGCAAAGCAGGGACCCCAAAGUGUCGAAACGGCGCAAUCGCUUACGCCG